rnacentral:rRNA from 1 species
UACAGAGGGUGCGAGCGUUUGUCCGGAAUCACUGGGCGUAAAGGGCGCGUAGGCGGCUCGGUAAGGUUGCGGUGAAAGCCCGGGGCUCAACCCCGGGUCGGCCGUGGCAACUGCUGGGCUCGAGCACUGUAGAGGCAGGUGGAAUUCCGGGUGUAGCGGUGGAAUGCGUAGAGAUCCGGAAGAACACCGGUGGCGAAGGCGGCCUGCUGGGCAGUGGCUGACGCUGAGGCGCGACAGCGUGGGGAGCAAACAGG